UACGGGGGGGGCAAGCGUUGUUCGGAAUUACUGGGCGUAAAGGGCUCGUAGGCGGCCAACUAAGUCAGACGUGAAAUCCCUCGGCUUAACCGGGGAACUGCGUCUGAUACUGGAUGGCUUGAGAUUGGGAGAGGGAUGCGGAAUUCCAGGUGUAGCGGUGAAAUGCGUAGAUAUUGGGAGGAACACCAGUGGCGAAGGCGGCUCACUGGACCGGUACUGACGCUGAUGCGCGAAAGCGUGGGGAGCGAACGGG
rnacentral:rRNA from 1 species